GCUUGUCUCAAAGAUUAAGCCAUGCAUGUCUAAGUAUAAGCAAUUAUACCGCGAAACUGCGAAUGGCUCAUUAUAUAAGUUAUCGUUUAUUUGAUAAUACUUUACUACUUGGAUAACCGUGGUAAUUCUAGAGCUAAUACAUGCUAAAAAUCCCGACUUCGGAAGGGUUGUAUUUAUUAGAUUAAAAACCAAUGCCCCUCGGGGCUCUCUGGUGAAUCAUGAUAACUAGUCGAAUCGACAGGCCUUGUGCCGGCGAUGGCUCAUUCAAAUUUCUUCCCUAUCAACUUUCGAUGUUUGGGUAUUGUCCAAACAUAGUGGCAACGGGUAACGGAGGGUUAGGGCUCGACCCCGGAGAAGGAGCCUGAGAAACGGCUACUACAUCCAAGGAAGGCAGCAGGCGCGCAAAUUACCCAAUCCCGACACGGGGAGGUAGUGACAAUAAAUACUGAUACAGGGCUCUUUUGGGUCUCGUAAUUGGAAUGAGAACAAUUUAAAUCCCUUAACGAGGAACAAUUGGAGG
rnacentral:rRNA from 1 species